rnacentral:snRNA from 1 species
GGAUGUGAGGGUGAUCUGGCUGUGACAUCUGUCACCCCAUGGAUCGCCAGGGUUGAUUCGGCUGAUCUGGCUGGCUAGGCGGGUGUCCCCUUCCUCCCUCAAUGCUCCAUGUGCGUCCCUCCCGAAGCUGUGUGCUCUGUCAAAGAGGACAACCACCCCCGAUAGAGGAGGACCGUUCCUUGGUUAAGGGUAUAUGAGUAGCUGUGCUCUCCUGCUAGAACCUCCAAACAAGACUUCUCUUUUAGAAAGGUGUGGAAAUAUGCAAUUUAGAGCUUCU